UCCUUCUCAGACCAUCCGGGCUACCACUGACUAUUGCCGCCGACACAAGAUCCCCUUUCCCCAAGUAGAAGAGGCUGAGCUGGAUUUGUGGUCCAAGGCCCCCACCAGCUGCUACAUCCUGAAAGGAGAAACUGGACCAGUGGUGAUGCAUUUUCCCCUGUUCAACAUAGAUGCCUGUGGAGGUGAUAUUGAGGCAUGGAGUGACACAUACGACACAUUCAAGCUCGCUGACACCUACACUCUAGAUGUGGUGGUGCCACUCUUGGCAUUAGCCAAGGAGAACGUGAGGGAAAACAAGAAGAAGAUCCUUAGAGAGUUGAUGAACGUGGCCGGGCUCUACUACCCGAAGGAUAGUGCCCGAAGUUGCUGCUUGGCAUAGAUGAGCCUCAGCUUCCAGGGCAAUGUGGGCCUGUUGGUCUACUAGGGCCCUGAUGUCCACCUGGCCUUACUGUUCUUCACUCCCUUCAGCCACACGCUUCAUGGUCUUGAGUUCACCUUGGCUGUCCUAACAGGGCCAAUCACCAGUGACCAGCCGGACUGUGAUUUUGAUAGCAUCAUUCAGAAGAAGGUGUCCAAGGAGCUGAAGGUGGUGAAAUUUGUCCUGCAGGUCCCUCGGGAGAUCCUGGAGCUGGAGCAUGAGUCUCUGACAAUCAGAAGCAUCAUGUCCAAUGUCCAGAUGGCCAAAAUGAAUGUGAUAGUUCAGACCAGUGCUUUAACUGCUCCUUUAUUACUGCACUUCUAGCCAGUAGCUCUGUAGAAGUAAGAACUUGGGCUUAAAUCAUGGGCUAUCUCUCCAGAGCCAAGUGGAGCUCUGAGACUACAACAAGUGCUCAAUAAAUGCUUGCUGAUUGACUGAUGGA
rnacentral:sRNA from 1 species